rnacentral:rRNA from 1 species
AAGCGAGACGGUGACGUUCAGCAAAUCCCAAAAAUAACGUCCCAGUUCGGAUUGUAGUCUGCAACUCGACUACAUGAAGCUGGAAUCGCUAGUAAUCGCGAAUCAGAAUGUCGCGGUGAAUACGUUCCCGGGUCUUGUACACACCGCCCGUCACACCAUGGGAGUCGGAAAUGCCCGAAGUCAGUGACCUAACCGAAAGGAGGGAGCUGCCGAAGGUGGAGCCGGUAACUGGGGUGAAGUCGUAACAAGGUAUC